rnacentral:lncRNA from 1 species
GCAUUGUAUGUUUGGAAUUCCAAAAAGGUUUUGGUAACAUCUCAGCGAUCAUUAGCUCAGAUCUUGGACUAAAGAUCAUGAAGAGGAAGAAGAAAACCCAUACUGAACUCACCAGGUAUUUAUUUAGUACCUAUUAUUAGCCUCAGCUGUGUCAGGCACUGAGGCUGUGACAUUAAACAAG